rnacentral:rRNA from 1 species
UUUGGUGGCGAUAGCGAAGAGGUCACACACGUUCCCAUGCCGAACACGGAAGUUAAGCUCUUCAGCGCCGAUGGUAGUCGGGGGUUUCCCCCUGUGAGAGUAGGACGCCGCCAAGC